AUUGAACGCUGGCGGCGUGCCUAACACAUGCAAGUCGAGCGGCAGCGCGGGAGCAAUCCUGGCGGCGAGCGGCGGACGGGUGAGUAACGCUUGGGAAUCUGCCUGUUAGUGGGGGACAACCCGGGGAAACUCGGGCUAAUACCGCAUACGCACUACGGUGGAAAGCCGGGGACCGCAAGGCCUGGCGCUAACAGAUGAGCCCAAGUCGGAUUAGCUAGUUGGUAGGGUAACGGCCACCAAGGCGACGAUCCGUAACUGGUCUGAGAGGGCGACCAGUCACACCGGAACUGAGACACGGUCCGGACUCCUACGGGAGGCAGCAGUGGGGAAUAUUGGACAAUGGGGGAAACCCUGAUCCAGCGACGCCGCGUGGGUGAAGAAGGCCUGCGGGUUGUAAAGCCCUUUCAGUGGGGAAGAAAAGCCUCGACCUAACACGUCGGGGUCUUGACGUAACCCAUAGAAGAAGCACCGGCUAACUCUGUGCCAGCAGCCGCCGUAAG
rnacentral:rRNA from 1 species